GGAAUUCCCAGACUUUGAUGAAGAGACAGGAAUUCUGCCUAAAGUUGAUGAUGAGGAGGAUGAGGACUUGGAGAUUGAGCUGGUGGAAGAGGAACCUCCAUUCCUGAGGGGGCACACCAAACAGAGCAUGGACAUGAGUCCUGUCAAGAUUGUCAAGAACCCCGAUGGAGCUCUCUCCCAAGCAGCCAUG